AACGAACGCUGGCGGCAUGCCUAACACAUGCAAGUCGAACGAGACCUUCGGGUCUAGUGGCGCACGGGUGCGUAACGCGUGGGAACCUGCCCUUAGGUUCGGAAUAACUCCCCGAAAGGGGUGCUAAUACCGGAGAAUGUCUUCGGACCAAAGAGUUAUCGCCUUUGGGUGGGCCCGCGUUGGAUUAGCUAGUUGGUAGGGUAAAAGCCUACCAAGGCGUCGAUCCAUAGCUGGUCGGGGAGGAUGAUCAGCCACACUGGGACUGAGACACGGCCCAGACUCCUACGGGGGGCAGCGGAGGAGAAUAUUAGACACUGGACGAAAGCCUGGUACAGCAGUGUCGCGUGAGUGAUGAAGGCCUUAGGGUUGUAAAGCUCUUUUACCCGGGAUGAUAAUGACAGUACCGGGAGAAUAAGCUCCGGCUAACUCCGUG
rnacentral:rRNA from 1 species